rnacentral:rRNA from 1 species
AGAGUUUGAUCCUGGCUCAGGAUGAACGCUGGCGGCGUGCUUUAAGCAUGCAAGUCGAACGGCUCCGCAAGGAGCAGUGGCGGACGGUCGAGUAACGCGUGGGGAUCUACCUUGAAGUUGGACAUAGCUCGUCGAAAGGCGGGGUAAUUUCCAAUGUGAACGUAAGUUCAAAGUCGCAAGACGCUUUAAGAUGAACCCGCGUCCUAUCAGCUAGUUGGUGAGGUAAUGGCUCACCAAGGCAUCGACGGGUAGCUGGUCUGAGAGGAUGAUCAGCCGGAAUAGCACUGAGACACGGGCUAUACACCUACGGGUGGCAGCAACUGGGAAUCUUGCGCAAUGGACGAAAGUCUGACGCAGCGACGCCGCGUGGAGGAUUGAAGGCCCUCGGGUUGUAAACUCCUUUUGACUGGGAAGAUUAUGACUGUACCAGUAGAAUAAGCACCUGCUAACUACGUGCCAGAAGCCUCGGUAAUACGUAGGGUGCAAGCGUUAUCCGGAUUUAUUGGGCGUAAAGUGUUGCGUAGGCUGAUUUGCGCAUUUUGUUUAAAAGACUAAGGCUUAACCUUAGUUUUGGGCAAAAUAUGGCAAAUCUUGAUGGUUUAAGAGGGUACUGGAACUUAACAAGUAGCAGUGAAAUGCGUUGAUAUGUUAAGGAACACCAAAGGCGUAGGCAGGUACCUGGGAAACUCAUGACGCUGAGGCACGACAGCUAGGGUAGCGAAGCAGAUUAGAGACCUGCGUAGUCCUAGCCGUAAACGAUGGAUGCUAGUUAGUCCGAUGUACUUCGGACCGACGUAAGGUAACCCGUUAAGCAUCCCGCCUGGGGAGUACGAACGCAAGUUUAAAACUCAAAGGAAUUGACGG